UACGAAGGGGGCUAGCGUUGUUCGGAAUCACUGGGCGUAAAGGGCGCGUAGGCGGCUUUGUAAGUCGGGGGUGAAAGCCUGUGGCUCAACCACAGAAUUGCCUUCGAUACUGCAUGGCUUGAGACCGGAAGAGGUAAGUGGAACUGCGAGUGUAGAGGUGAAAUUCGUAGAUAUUCGCAAGAACACCAGUGGCGAAGGCGGCUUACUGGUCCGGUUCUGACGCUGAGGCGGCGAAAGCUAGGGGAGCAAACAGG
rnacentral:rRNA from 1 species